rnacentral:tRNA from 1 species
GCGCUCGUGGUGGAUUCGGUAGACACACCUGACUCAAAAUCAGGCGCCGCAAGGCAGGCGAGUUCGACCCUCGCCGAGCGCA